UCCCUGGUGGCUCAGAGGUUAAAGCGUCUGCCUGCAAUGCGGGAGACCUGGGUUCUAUCCCUGGGUCGGGAA
rfam:Ovis aries breed Texel chromosome 3, whole genome shotgun sequence.